AUGGCCUACCCGUGCUGGACGUUCGAGACGUUCAUUGCUGGUUGGUUGCUUUGCGCCUACCUCCUUGCCCGAUUUGGUGAUGAUGCCAAAGGAAGCAAUGGUGUCAGGAAGGCUGUAAUUGUUCAAGUAGAAAGUGUGCACAGGAGCGCUUCGUGCUGUAGGCGAUGCUGUGUCAUGGCACCUGUUUAUGCUGAAAUGUCAAAGAAUUAUCCUCAACUGAUGUUCUUGACAAUUGAUGUUGAUGCAUUUGACCGAUGCUUUGUCAAGUCACAAACCUUUCAGCCAAACCUCAGUAUGCUGUGUAGCUUCUUAUCUUGUUAUUUCCUGCUUUGA
rnacentral:rRNA from 1 species